rnacentral:rRNA from 1 species
CAGCAGCCGCGGUAAUACGCAAUCCCCGAGUGGUAUCCAGCAUUAUUUGGCUUAAAGCGUGUGUAGCUGGUUUAUUAAGUCUUUUGUGAAAGCAGUGGGCCUAACUCAUUGAAUUGCAAAAGAUACUGGUAGGCUAGAGAUAGGGAGACGUUUAGGGUAUUUCUAGAGUAGGAGUAGAAUCUUAAGAUACUAGAAAGACCACCUGUGGCGAAGGCGCUAAACGAGAACUAAUCUGACAGUGAGACACGAAAGCUGGGGGCGCAACCCGGAUUAGAUACCCGGUUAGUCCCAGCUGUAAACGAUGCUGAUUAGGUGUUGGGUUAACUAUGAGUUAACUCAGGGCCGUAGGGAAACCAUUAAAUCAGCCGCCUGGGGAGUACUGUCGCAAGGCAGAAACUUAAUGGAAUUGGCGGGGGUGCACUACAAGGGGUGGAUGCUGCGGUUUAAUUGGAUGAAACGCCAGAUAUUUUACCAGAACAGACAGCAAGAUGAUGGUCAGUCUAAAGGGCUUACCUGAUGCGCUGAGAGGUGGUGCAUGGCC